ACGGAAGGCAGCAGUGGGGAAUAUUGGUCAAUGGGCGCAAGCCUGAUCCAGCGACGCCGCGUGAGCGAUGAAGUAUUUCGGUAUGUAAAGCUCUAUCAGCAGGGAAGAAAACGACGGUACCUGACUAAGAAGCCCCGGCUAACUACGUGCCAGCAGCCGCGGUAAUACGUAGGGGGCAAGCGUUAUCCGGAUUUACUGGGUGUAAAGGGAGCGUAGACGGAAUGGCAAGUCAGAAGUGAAACUCCGGGGCUCAACCCCGGAACUGCUUUUGAAACUGUCAAUCUUGAGUGCUGGAGAGGUAAGCGGAAUUCCUAGUGUAGCGGUGAAAUGCGUAGAUAUUAGGAGGAACACCAGUGGCGAAGGCGGCUUACUGGACAGUAACUGACGUUGAGGCUCGAAAGCGUGGCGAGCAAACAGGAUUAGAUACCCUGGUA
rnacentral:rRNA from 1 species